rnacentral:rRNA from 1 species
AGUCACUGACAUUAGAUACCCGGGUAGUCCCAGCCGUAAACAAUGUGCGUUAGGUAUGUCGGUAACCACGUGUUACUGAUGUGCCGAAGAGAAAUCGUGAAACGCACCACCUGGGAAGUACGGUCGCAAGGCUGAAACUUAAAGGAAUUGGCGGGGAGCACCACAACGGGUGGAGCCUGCGGUUUAAUUGGACUCAACGCCGGGAAGCUCACCGGAUAGGACAGCAGAAUGAUUGCCGGGCUGAAGACCCUGCAUGACUAGCUG